UAAAUCUGCAAAUUGAAGCCUCAAACUUGUUCCAAAUCAAGUUCUAAACACAUAUUAGUGAACACCUCGUUGUAAGGAUCAAAAGGCAAAGAGUCCGGAUCGUCAAGCGGACAAGCCGAAAGGAAUCCACGGGGAAAGGGUGCGCUCUAAAGUUUUCAGGUGCUCAAGAAAAGGAUGAUGAUCAAGUAAUCGAGUCGAACCGAACACACAAUACUACGCUUCCGUACUUGGUCCUUGUUUUGUAACUAUGUAGACACUAGUAGUUUUAUUUUGAACAUCGUUUAGUAGGUUAAACGUGUAAAUGUCGUA